rnacentral:rRNA from 1 species
AACGUAGGAGACAAACGUUAUCCGGAGUUACUGGGCGUAAAGGGCGUGUAGGUGGUUUCGUAAGUCUGGCGUGAAAUAUCUCGGCUUAACCGAGGCAGGUCGUCGGAUACUGCGGAACUAGAGGACGGUAGAGGCGUGUGGAAUUCCGGGUGUAGUGGUGAAAUGCGUAGAGAUCCGGAGGAACACCAGUGGCGAAGGCGGGUCUCUGGGCAAUUCCUGACGCUGAGGCGCGAAAGCGUGGGGAGCAAACAGG